rnacentral:rRNA from 1 species
UACGGAGGGAGCUAGCGUUGUUCGGAAUUACUGGGCGUAAAGCGCGCGUAGGCGGCUUUGUAAGUUAGAGGUGAAAGCCCGGGGCUCAACCCCGGAAUUGCCUUUAAGACUGCAUCGCUUGAAUCCGGGAGAGGUGAGUGGAAUUCCGAGUGUAGAGGUGAAAUUCGUAGAUAUCUGGAGGAACACCGGUGGCGAAGGCGGCAUCCUGGACCGGUAUUGACGCUGAGGCGCGAAAGCCAGGGGAGCAAACGGG